UGGGGAAUCUUGCGCAAUGGACGAAAGUCUGACGCAGCAACGCCGCGUGGGUGAUGAAGGUCUUCGGAUCGUAAAGCCCUGUCGCCAGGGAAGAUGCCAUUUGGUUUUAACAAAGCCAAGAGGUGACGGUACCUGGAAAGGAAGCACCGGCUAACUCUGUGCCAGCAGCCGCGGUAAUACAGAGGGUGCAAGCGUUGUUCGGAAUUAUUGGGCGUAAAGGGAGUGUAGGCGGUUUGUUAAGUCUUCUGUGAAAUCUACGGGCUCAGCCUGUAACGUGCAGAGGAAACUGGCGAACUAGAGUGUCGGAGAGGAUAGUGGAAUACCCGGUGUAGAGGUGAAAUUCGUAGAGAUCGGGUGGAACACCAGUGGCGAAGGCGACUAUCUGGCUGACAACUGACGCUGAGACUCGAAAGCAUGGGGAGCAAACAG
rnacentral:rRNA from 1 species